rnacentral:rRNA from 1 species
GAUGAACGCUGGCGGCGUGCCUAAUACAUGCAAGUCGAGCGAACAGACGAGGAGCUUGCUCCUCUGACGUUAGCGGCGGACGGGUGAGUAACACGUGGAUAACCUACCUAUAAGACUGGGAUAACUUCGGGAAACCGGAGCUAAUACCGGAUAAUAUAUUGAACCGCAUGGUUCAAUAGUGAAAGACGGUUUUGCUGUCACUUAUAGAUGGAUCCGCGCCGCAUUAGCUAGUUGGUAAGGUAACGGCUUACCAAGGCAACGAUGCGUAGCCGACCUGAGAGGGGGAUCGGCCACAAUGGAACUGAGACACGGUCCAGACUCCUACGGGAGGCAGCAGUAGGGAAUCUGCCGCAAUGGGCGAAAGCCUGACGGAGCAACGCCGCGUGAGUGAUGAAGGUCUUCGGAUCGUAAAACUCUGUUAUUAGGGAAGAACAAAUGUGUAAGUAACGAUGCACGUCUUGACGGUACCUAAUCAGAAAGCCACGGCUAACUACGU